GGGUUGUGAGGUUAAGCGACUAAGCGUACACGGUGGAUGCCCUGGCAGUCAGAGGCGAUGAAGGACGUGCUAAUCUGCGAUAAGCGUCGGUAAGGUGAUAUGAACCGUUAUAACCGGCGAUUUCCGAAUGGGGAAACCCAGUGUGAUUCGUCACACUAUCAUUACGUGAAUACAUAGCGUAAUGAAGCGAACCGGGGGAACUGAAACAUCUAAGUACCCCGAGGAAAAGAAAUCAACCGAGAUUCCCCCAGUAGCGGCGAGCGAACGGGGAGCAGCCCAGAGUCUGAAUCAGCAUGUGUGUUAGUGGAAGCGUCUGGAAAGUCGCACGAUACAGGGUGAAAGUCCCGUACACAAAAGUGCAUGUGUUGUGAACUCGAAGAGUAGGGCGGGACACGUGGUAUCCUGUCUGAAUAUGGGGGGACCAUCCUCCAAGGCUAAAUACUCCUGACUGACCGAUAGUGAACCAGUACCGUGAGGGAAAGGCGAAAAGAACCCCGGCGAGGGGAGUGAAAAAGAACCUGAAACCGUGUACGUACAAGCAGUGGGAGCACCCUUCGGGGUGUGACUGCGUACCUUUUGUAUAAUGGGUCAGCGACUUAUAUUCUGUAGCAAGGUUAACCGAAUAGGGGAGCCGAAGGGAAACCGAGUCUUAACUGGGCGUUAAGUUGCAGGGUAUAGACCCGAAACCCGGUGAUCUAGCCAUGGGCAGGUUGAAGGUUGGGUAACACUAACUGGAGGACCGAACCGACUAAUGUUGAAAAAUUAGCGGAUGACUUGUGGCUGGGGGUGAAAGGCCAAUCAAACCGGGAGAUAGCUGGUUCUCCCCGAAAGCUAUUUAGGUAGCGCCUCGUGAACUCAUCUUCGGGGGUAGAGCACUGUUUCGGCUAGGGGGUCAUCCCGACUUACCAACCCGAUGCAAACUGCGAAUACCGAAGAAUGUUAUCACGGGAGACACACGGCGGGUGCUAACGUCCGUCGUGAAGAGGGAAACAACCCAGACCGCCAGCUAAGGUCCCAAAGUCAUGGUUAAGUGGGAAACGAUGUGGGAAGGCACAGACAGCCAGGAUGUUGGCUUAGAAGCAGCCAUCAUUUAAAGAAAGCGUAAUAGCUCACUGGUCGAGUCGGCCUGCGCGGAAGAUGUAACGGGGCUAAACCAUGCACCGAAGCUGCGGCAGCGACACUAUGUGUUGUUGGGUAGGGGAGCGUUCUGUAAGCCGUUGAAGGUGUAUCGUGAGGUAUGCUGGAGGUAUCAGAAGUGCGAAUGCUGACAUAAGUAACGAUAAUGCGGGUGAAAAACCCGCACGCCGGAAGACCAAGGGUUCCUGUCCAACGUUAAUCGGGGCAGGGUGAGUCGACCCCUAAGGCGAGGCCGAAAGGCGUAGUCGAUGGGAAACAGGUUAAUAUUCCUGUACUUGGUGUUACUGCGAAGGGGGGACGGAGAAGGCUAUGUUAGCCGGGCGACGGUUGUCCCGGUUUAAGCAUGUAGGCGGAGGUUCCAGGUAAAUCCGGUACCUUUUAACGCUGAGGUGUGAUGACGAGGCACUACGGUGCUGAAGUAACAAAUGCCCUGCUUCCAGGAAAAGCCUCUAAGCAUCAGGUAACACGAAAUCGUACCCCAAACCGACACAGGUGGUCAGGUAGAGAAUACCAAGGCGCUUGAGAGAACUCGGGUGAAGGAACUAGGCAAAAUGGUGCCGUAACUUCGGGAGAAGGCACGCUGAUAUGUAGGUGAAGUGAUUUACUCAUGGAGCUGAAAUCAGUCGAAGAUACCAGCUGGCUGCAACUGUUUAUUAAAAACACAGCACUGUGCAAACACGAAAGUGGACGUAUACGGUGUGACGCCUGCCCGGUGCCGGAAGGUUAAUUGAUGGGGUUAUCCGUAAGGAGAAGCUCUUGAUCGAAGCCCCGGUAAACGGCGGCCGUAACUAUAACGGUCCUAAGGUAGCGAAAUUCCUUGUCGGGUAAGUUCCGACCUGCACGAAUGGCGUAAUGAUGGCCAGGCUGUCUCCACCCGAGACUCAGUGAAAUUGAACUCGCUGUGAAGAUGCAGUGUACCCGCGGCAAGACGGAAAGACCCCGUGAACCUUUACUAUAGCUUGACACUGAACACUGGUCCUUGAUGUGUAGGAUAGGUGGGAGGCUUUGAAGUGUGGACGCCAGUCUGCAUGGAGCCAUCCUUGAAAUACCACCCUUUAAUGGCUGGUGUUCUAACGUAGACCCGU
rnacentral:rRNA from 1 species